UACGUAGGGUGCGAGCGUUAAUCGGAAUUACUGGGCGUAAAGCGUGCGCAGGCGGUUCGUCGUGUCCGAUGUGAAAGCCCCGGGCUCAACCUGGGAGGUGCGCGCGAGACUGUGGUGCUGGAGUUCGGGAGAGGAGCGUGGAAUUCCCAGUGUAGAGGUGAAAUUCGUAGAUAUUCGCAAGAACACCAGUGGCGAAGGCGGCUCACUGGCCCGGUACUGACGCUGAGGUGCGAAAGCGUGGGGAGCAAACAGG
rnacentral:rRNA from 1 species